UCUUGGUUCUGGCAUCGAUGAAGAACGCAGCGAAAUGCGAUAAGUAAUGUGAAUUGCAGAAUUCAGUGAAUCAUCGAAUCUUUGAACGCACAUUGCGCCCGCCAGCAUUCUGGCGGGCAUGCCUGUUCGAGCGUCAUUUCAACCAUCAAGCCCCCGGGC
rnacentral:rRNA from 2 species